CCUCGCUCAAGACCUGCCCCGCGGGGCGGGGUCGAAGGUGAGCGCCCCGCGCGCUGAUUGGCUGUAGGGGCGCUCGUGGCAGGGAGGGGCGGGGCGGACGCGGAACCGAUGUUAGUCUCGCGCGGCGGUCGCGAGCGCGUGAGGGAGCCUGUUCCUUGUCGCGCGCAGGUAGGCAGCAGCGGCAGCGGGAUUAGUAGGGGUCGUGUGAAGAAGCCAUGAAACACUAUGAGGUGGAGUUCUGGAAGCGUUAAGACAGCCGCUGAGCCUGCCUGGACACCUCUGUGUGGUGUCAGGAGGUGACGGGUCUUUCUCCCUUGGGACCCUGAGCGUGCUGGGGACACGGGAGCCUGAGGCCUGCGAGGAGCGGGCUCAGUCCCUGGGCUCCCU